rnacentral:snRNA from 1 species
AUCGCUUCUCAGCCUUUUGGCUAUGAUCAAGUAUAGUAUCUGUUCUAAUCAGUUUAAUACCUGAUAUGUUCUUUAUCUAAGGACAUCAUAUUAAAUUGAUUUUUGGAACAGGGAGUAGGAAAAGGGGUGUGCUCUAUCCACUUCAUGCAUCAUCUUGGUACCGUGGUACUUUCAAGAAUGGUGCACUCCAC